rnacentral:rRNA from 1 species
GCUGCAACUCGCCUGCAUGAAGUCGGAAUUGCUAGUAAUCGCAGAUCAGCAUGCUGCGGUGAAUACGUUCCCGGGCCUUGUACACACCGCCCGUCACACCNUGGGAGUCGGUAACACCCGAAGUCGGUAGCCUAACCGUAAGGAGGGCGCCGCCGAAGGUGGGAUUGAUGACUGGGGUGAAGUCGUAACAAGGUAGC